AUUAGGAAUGCAUUUAGCCUUGUGUAUCUUCUCCUUUAAAUUGCUUCAUGCCUCUAUUAUGUUGCCUCGUGGUUUAAGAGGUACCUUUUCAUCCUCUUUGAUUUCAUUCCCAUGAUGUUGCCACCAUUUGAGUGUCUAUGAUGGCCCUUCUACCAACCGGUCCUCUUCUAGCCUCAAUGGAUAUAUCAAUAGCCUUGAACAUCCUAUCCUUGCUUAGCUCAGACUCCUAUCCCUAGUGUAGUCGAUUGCCACUCUAAUUUGAAUGGAUUUGAGACAUCGAGCACCGUCACCUGGAUAACCUUGUUCCUUCUCCCUCUCUCAUAUUUGAUUUUCUCCAUAAUCUAGUGAUUUAAUUUGUGUCGAGCGAUCGUUCAGACACCGAGCGAUCUAUCAUGGGUUCCACACCCAAACACUUUAAUUAUAGUAAAAGGCCAUAAUCACCUCAAUUAUUUAGUUUAGGUGUCAGUUUGGGAAGAACCUAGAGAUUAGGA
rnacentral:lncRNA from 1 species